UGCCAGCAGCCGCGGUAAUACGAAGGGUGCUAGCGUUAUUCGGAAUUACUGGGCGUAAAGGGCGCGUAGGCGGUUCGGUCAGUCAGUUGUGAAAUCCCUCGGCUCAACCGAGGAAUUGCGACUGAUACUGCCGAACUUGAGUCCCGGAGAGGGUGGCGGAAUUCCUAGUGUAGCGGUGAAAUGCGUAGAUAUUAGGAGGAACACCAGUGGCGAAGGCGGCCACCUGGACGGGUACUGACGCUGAGGCGCGAAAGCAUGGGGAGCAAACAGGAUUAGAUA
rnacentral:rRNA from 1 species